UUGCCUCUUUCAUCAUCUAAUCUAAUGAGAAAAGUUCUGAAGUAGUUUAAUGAAUAAUGGAUUUUGCAACAAUCAUUCUAUCUGGCUUUUUUUCAGAGGAUUCUCUAUAGAGCAAAAACACAUGUUCCAGCUCAUCUUCCCUCCUUUGUGGAAGCUGUGGAGAAGCCGCCCAGAGACAACACCCCAGAGAAGGGACAACCGGAUCGACAGGCUGCAGAAGCCUACUGAUCCAUGGGAGGUAGGAAGGAACUCAUGGCACAGCAGAUGUUGUUGAGGCCUAAUUACACCUGCCUGGGUUAAGGGCCCUGAGCUGGACCCCAGUGGAGUGGGUGGGCCUGGGUUCCCUUACUGACCCCUGAGAGACUUAAGGCAGAGGUCCCCAAACUAUGGGGUGUGCCCCCCUAGGAGGUGUGGAGGUAGGUUUGGGGGGAGUGCGUGGGUGUGGGGGGCCUAAGCCUCCCCUCAUGGUGGGAGAGGAGGAAGCGCCAACCAGACCCACUCCACUCCCAGCUCUGCUCUGGCCUGGCCCCCAGCCAUGGCUCCUGACCCGGCCCCAGCCCUGCUUCCCACCCCAGAUCUGCCCCCAGCCUUGCCCCAGCCUUGCCCCCACCUUACCCCUGUCCAUGUCCCUCCUCCUGGGAACUGUGGCCCUUCUCCCAGUUCUGGGGGGAAGGAUGCAGAUGAGUAAGGGUGGGGGGAAAGUUUGGGGACCAAUGACAUAUGGACUGAAGGGAUUUCCAGACUGACUGAAUAUCAGGACCAACUGCCCCACCAAGUAUAACGGGAAAAACUGUACAUCCCAGUGGACUGAAACUGGCACUCUUCAUAGCCCAGAAUGGGACUACCGUUGAGAAUCAGGCAAAAGGAGCUGACUGACCUCAACAGGGGACUGAGUGAACUCUAGAGCGCUCCAUAUGACCAAAAGGGACGUGAUAGCAUUAACACUGCAAUUCACAUCUCUUUUGCCUGUGGGCAGAACUGUGUUGUAUGACACAAAAUAUAGCAAUGACAUAAUUAGACAUGGAUCCUACCAAUAUGACUUCAGAUUUUUAAUUCCACAAGAUGCUGGAGGAGUGGGCAGUGGCUCAAGACCAGCUUUUUUGGUUCAGACUGUCUGAGACAUGUGUGAUGUUGCACCCCAUAAUGCUUUAUAGAAAUAUGCUUAUGAGUGUAAAUAUGACAUAACUGGAAUGUGUUUUAUGCUAGAUAUGCCAUGUAACAUAUCUUUGCAAAGGUUAUGAUCUACUGAAUAUAUUCAUCCUAUUUGUAUGCAUGUAUCAUUUUUAUAUCUGAAGUUAUGAGCAUUGGCUCUAUUCUUGUAUUUAAAGUGUUUGCUGUAGGAAGCACAUAAGGCAGAUUGGGUCAACAUAGUGUGAAGGGGUUAUUCAAGUAAUUGGGAGUACUUAACUAACAAUGGACUUUGGGAGGACGCCAAUCCACAUCCGAGUUUUCCUGGGAACGUUCAAACUAACAUGUGAACAAUGGCGUCGGCCUGCAAAAAGCUGAAUCAUUCAUAGACAUGUGACUUGCCCAGGUGGCUAGAGACUCUAUCUUGUGGCUCUGAUGUUGCACAAGAGAAAGACUAUAUAAGGCCCUGGAUACCCCAGCAUUUUGUCUUCAGCUGGCUUAGAAGAUAGCCUCUCCACCCCAAAGAGAUGCCUGAAAGAAACUGGAACAAAGAACAGUAACUACGGAGGUGUGAGUGAUUGCUGGACACAGACCAGGGGGAAGUCUAGUCUGUAAAAGAAGCUUAUUGGAACAUCUCUGAGGGUGAGAUUUACCUGCAUUUAGUUUCCUCCUGUAUUAGGCUUAGACUUGCAUGUUUUAUUUUAGUUUGCUUGGUAACUUUCUUCGUUCUGUCUGUUAUUACUCGGAACCACUUAAAUUCUACUUUUUAUAUUUAAUAAAAUCACUUUUUACUUAUUUAUUAA